AGUAAAGGCCAUUUUACGCACUAGAAGUACCAUGUUAGAAUCCCACGUGCUGUGGACAGUUUGAGAGGUGCACAGCAACAUAGGAGUCUCCAAGGAGUAGCAUAGACUAGACCUUAAGUGAAGUAUUAAGGUCGAUAGGAUGCUGGAAACAAGGAGAAGCCAACGAGCCGACUUAAGGAGCGUCAUGACCUUAUCAGAUUUGUGUCUUAGAAAAAUCCUCCGACUUCAGUACAAAGAAUAAAACUGCAUGCUGUCGUUGGAUCGCCUGGGAAGGAACCACUAUGGCGUUCACAAAGAAGAACAGGACUCGAACUAAGGUGGAUGAAGAACGUGUGAGUUCUCAAUAAUGAAGGAGGCGCACGAAAGCAAACCAAGAAAUCACAGAGUGCUCAACCUGCAAAGGCUAUGGCAUUGCGAGGACAGGAGUUUUAACCAAUCAGAACGGACGAAAGACAACAUUUCUGAUCAGCCAAGCAGACCUAAAGCAUGUUGGAAACUUAGAAAAACUUGCUGCAUUAUUUUAAUGAAAGAUUUUAUCGAACUUUUACUUGAUUCCAAUAAAAUAAGGAUAAUCAUAAA